GUCCGUGUACUCGAAGUAGUAAGCCAGCAUCACCGUCCCUGCCAUGAUCACCAUCUGGAAAUAGAGCAUGCUGCUGGAAGAGCUCCUCUCCAACCAACUGACUCGCAGUGAUGGUGAGAAUGUCACAGCUGAUGCAUCUGUGGCUCCCAGGCUUCUUAAAUGAAAACUAAGAUUCACACCGAAAUGAGAAAAUACGACAUGUGUCCACACUAAUAUUCUGAUUUAAAGUCAGGAAUACCAGCUUGCUGACCAUGAAUCCUGGCCCAAACUUUCACAGGCACCUGCAGGGACUGCACUCUCCAUCCCUUUGAGGCAGGGCAUGGUUAUGCGAUGUACUCUGGCCAGCGCAGCAUGAAGGGAUCUGAGCAUGCCACUUCCAGGUGGCAGCUGUCAGGAGAUGGUGCUGGCUUUCCUGGACAUGAAACAAUAUCAUUGUGCACCCCCAAAUGAAGGCAGCAAGGAAUAGAGCUCACUAACGACCUGAAAUGGAUAUGCUCUAAGGGUAAGGAAGACAAAAAAGAAAAGGCAACAAACGAAAUCCAAACUUUAGUUGCUUAAAGCUACUGAGAUUUUUAGGGAUUUUUGUUACUGCAACAUAUUCUAGUCUACUUUGAAUGUUCACAUAUGAGAACUAUAUAAUAACAUUUCCCUAUUUAAUUUAAUCUCAUCUCUAGUUAUAUUUAAUCUAUGCAAAGAUCAAGUCUGUGAAUAAUGAUAUAGUAAAAUGCCCAUGCUGAUUCUGCCCAUAUCGUUAGCAGGAAUGCCUAAGGAGAGAAAUUUAGACCAUCAGUACUAAAAUCAUGACUUUUGGUGAGAGAAAAGGUAGAGCUGAGAAAGGGUGAAGAAGUUAAGAAGUGCAUUUGGUCUAGAAGAAAAGAGUUGGUGCCCAAGGCCCAACUCAGUCAUAUUGCUUACACUUUUGUCUAUGUUUUUCAGAAGAUAGGAAAAAGCAGGAAAACUGUAUCAAUAUAUAAUCAAAUAAAUCCAAUUAUAUUUGGAGCAGAGGACACAUUUUUAUUAGUACUGACUGCACAGCUUUAGCUGGUACUGGAGGAUCUACAAGGAUUCCUGCUCGCCUAGGUCUUCCCUCUCAGGUUGGUCUUGCAUCACUGCUUGCAGGACUCACUGAGUUAUGUUCAAUGUGCAUUCAAACUUAUUUCCCCAAUGUUUCAUGUAGAUGGUGUAUAAAAUACUUUCUUGAAGAUAUCAAUUGGUUCGAGCGAACUCAGACUGUGCACUAAAGGUAUUCUAAGAAGGAACAAAAAGUAAGAUAAAUUGAUCAAUAGCUUAUGUGUAUGUGUAUAUGGUGAGCACACAUUUAUCCACACAAAAACACAUAAUUAAAAUAUCCCCAUAAUAAAAAUAUUAAGCUUAUUUUAUGAUUAAAGAGAAUGAAAUGGAAGAAAAUCAAUGACAUUUCUAAGUUUCUAUAUCAAGUCCCCAGUCUUGGAAAAUGUGAGUUCAGAAAUCAUAAUAGCUCACCAAAUUUUGACACUGAUGAAAAGCAUUAUAUACCUUACUUUGUCAACAUUUGUUGUUUUAAGCAGCUAUUAUCUUAUAUCCUAUGUUUUAAUGAUACUUAUGAUGCUAAACAACUUCUGAGACUUUAUAAUACAUGUUCAUUGCUCCUUAUGAAACAGUAUAUCCAAUAUGAAGAGAGAGUUCUCCAGAGAAGAAAUUCACAUGGCCAACAGACACAUGAAAAGAUGCUCCACAUCAUUAAUCAUCAGGGAA